ACACAUGCAAGUCGAACGGAAGGCUCCAGCUUGCUGGAGUACUCGAGUGGCGAACGGGUGAGUAACACGUGGGUAAUCUGCCCUGCACUCUGGGAUAAGCCUGGGAAACUGGGUCUAAUACUGGAUAUGACCUUUCUCCUUAUGGGGUUUGGUGGAAAGUUUUUCGGUGUAGGAUGAGCCCGCGGCCUAUCAGCUUGUUGGUGGGGUGAUGGCCUACCAAGGCGACGACGGGUAGCCGGCCUGAGAGGGUGAUCGGCCACAUUGGGACUGAGAUACGGCCCAGACUCCUACGGGAGGCAGCAGUGGGGAAUAUUGCACAAUGGGCGGAAGCCUGAUGCAGCGACGCCGCGUGAGGGAUGACGGCCUUCGGGUUGUAAACCUCUUUCAGCAGGGACGAAGCGUAAGUGACGGUACCUGCAGAAGAAGCACCGGCUAACUACGUGCCAGCAGCCGCGGUAAUACGUAGGGUGCGAGCGUUGUCCGGAAUUACUGGGCGUAAAGAGCUCGUAGGCGGUUUGUCACGUCGUCUGUGAAAUCCUAGGGCUUAACCCUGGACGUGCAGGCGAUACGGGCUGACUUGAGUACUACAGGGGAGACUGCAAUCUCUGGUGUAGCGGUGGAAUGCACAGAUAUCAGGAAGAACACCGAUGGCGAAGGCAGGUCUCUGGGUAGUAACUGACGCUGAGGAGCGAAGCAUGGGUAGCGAACAGGAUUAGAUAGCCCUGUAGUUCAAUGCCGUAAACGGUGGGCGCUAGGUGUGGGGGUUU
rnacentral:rRNA from 1 species